GACGAACGCUGGCGGCGUGCUUAACACAUGCAAGUCGAACGGUAAGGCCCUUCGGGGUACACGAGUGGCGAACGGGUGAGUAACACGUGGGUGAUCUGCCCUGCACUUCGGGAUAAGCUUGGGAAACUGGGUCUAAUACCGGAUAGGACCACGGUCUGCAUGGAUUGUGGUGGAAAGCUUUUGCGGUGUGGGAUGGGCCCGCGGCCUAUCAGCUUGUUGGUGGGGUGAUGGCCUACCAGGGCGACGACGGGUAGCCGGCCUGAGAGGGUGUCCGGCCACACUGGGACUGAGAUACGGCCCAGACUCCUACGGGAGGCAGCAGUGGGGAAUAUUGCACAAUGGGCGCAAGCCUGAUGCAGCGACGCCGCGUGGGGGGAUGACGGCCUUCGGGUUGGUAACCGUACUUUCUAGCAGGGACGAAGGGUGACGUGACGGUACC
rnacentral:rRNA from 1 species